GGCACUGCCUCUGUCACCAGGCCAUACAUAGCCACUCUCAAUCAGGGCAAGCAGCCUCGACAAAUCAGUGCUCUGUGAAAAUGGAAAAGGAUCUUAAUUAAAGCCUUAAUGCAAAAGUUUACAGAAAUACCAUAGAAUGCUCUGUCUGUACCUGGAGCCUUCAUAGCCAUGCCAUGGGUAUCUUUUCUAUCCUUGCUCUACCGCUGCUUCUCUUAGGGAUCAGUGGAAUUAUUUAUAUUUACCAGUCAGUCAGGUGGCUGCUGUCCAAGUCAGCGGUGCAGAACAAGGUGGUGGUGAUCACAGAUGCCAUCUCUGGACUAGGCAAGGAAUGCUCUCGUGUGUUUCAUGCAGGAGGAGCAAGGCUGGUGUUGUGUGGCAGGACAUGGGAAAAGUUAGAAGCCCUUUAUGAUGCCUUAAUUAGUGUGACAGACCCCAGCACGACCUAUGCACCAAAGCUGAUCCUGCUGGACAUCACAGACAUAAGCUGCAUUCGAGAUGUAGCUAAGGAAAUCCUGAACUGCUAUGGCUGUGUGGAUAUACUGAUCAACAAUGCAAGCAUGAAGGUGAAAGGAGCAGUGCAGAGCAUUUCACUGGAACUUGAUAAAAAGAUAAUGGAUGCCAACUAUUUUGGACCUAUAACGUUAACCAAAGCCAUUCUUCCUAACAUGAUCUCAAGAAGAACUGGCCAAAUUGUUCUAAUUAACAGCAUCCAAGGGAAAAUAGGAAUUCCAUUUCGUGCAGCUUAUGCUGCUUCCAAGCAUGCUGCUGUAGGCUUUUUUGAUUGUCUUAGAGCUGAAAUGGAAGAAUUUGAUAUUUCUGUCAGCACUGUGAGUCCAACCUUCAUCUGUUCCUACCAUCGCCCACCAGCACCAGGCAACUGGGAGGCAUCCAUUUGGAAAUUCUUUUUCAGGAAGGUGUCCUAUGGUGUGCACCCCGUGGAGGUGGCAGAGGAAGUCCUUGCCACAGUGAGCAGGAGGAAGCAGGAGGUGCUCAUGGCCAACCCCAUCCCCAGAGCAGCAGUUUACAUUCGGACAUUCUUCCCCGAGCUGUUUUUUGCCAUUGUUGCCUCAGGGAUUAGGGAAAAGCUGAAGACAGAAGAGGAAAAUUGAUUUUGUUCAGUUAUUUUCCUUGCUUUUGAGCUGGGAAAAAAAAAAAAAAAAAGUUUUUUGUUUUGAAUGUUUUGAAUGUUGGUGACUUGUGCUGCUUGCUGUGAGUGGAACAGUGCCACUAUCACACACACAUAUUCAUCUGUAAAGCUUCUGCUCCUCUGGUUUUAGGGAGUGUGACAAUUGGAACCAAACUGCUCUUGCUGCUGCAAGUCCCUCUGCUCAUAUAACUUCAGAUCCAGCUCACUUACAUGUCUCAUUCAUUGAUAGAAUCACCAAACAUGAAUGGAAUUCUGAGGGCAAAGGAAUAUAUCUCAUUUUGCAGGGACGUGAAGCUUCUGCUGUGUCUCUGAUUGAAUUGCUCUGGAUUCAAGGAACCUGACUCAGGGAGGUAAUUCACCUCUGGGCUGAAGGGGUCAGUCCCUGCAGCACCUCCUGAAGCUGUUUGCUGUUGUAGCUCUGGUUUUGUGACUGUGCCUUAACUGGGAAGUCAAACAAUCACUUGUUCAAGAUUUUCUUGGUCCUCAGAAGAACUCUCCUGUUUCAAACCAAGGGGCACUUGCUGUGAUCUCAGUUAAAUUUGUGUCUUUACCUCAGCAACAGCCAAGUCCUCCACAUUUCCAUAAGAGCAAGGUGCAGAAUGAGCAAAAUUCCAUCAGUGAAGGAUCAGACACCACAGAACAUCCCAGCUAAACAUGAAUCAACAUUGUCUGUGGCUGCCCCACCCCUGGAAGUGUUGAUGGCCAGGCUGGGUGGGCUUGGAGCAGCCUGGGACAGUGGGAGGUGUUCCUGCCAUGGCAGGGGCUCGGAAUGAUACAGGUGCUUUUUAAGGUCCCUUCCAACCCAAAGCACUCUGAUUUCUGUGAUUUCCAUUAUUUUUUGCUGUAAAAAACAAGUGGAUUACAUGUUAAUAAAUAAUCCUUCUGCUCCAUUUUAGAUGUUCUAGAGAUCAGCAGAAAUUCUUCACACAAUUUCCCUUCAAAACAGUGAGCAGUUCAAGGAGCCACAGUAGAAAGCAGUGAAAGAGCUCCACCUUAUCACUGGCCAUUACCUGACCUGUUACAAAUCCUGCUGUCAUAACAAGCUCAAACUGUAUUUAUUGCCUGAAUAAAGAGACAGAAGGGUUUU